rnacentral:rRNA from 1 species
GUGACUGCGUACCUUUUGUAUAAUGGGUCAGCGACUUAUAUUCUGUAGCAAGGUUAACCGUAUAGGGGAGCCGCAGGGAAACCGAGUCUUAACCGGGCGUUAAGUUGCAGGGUAUAGACCCGAAACCCGGUGAUCUAGCCAUGGGCAGGUUGAAGGUUGGGUAACACUAACUGGAGGACCGAACCGACUAAUGUUGAAAAAUUAGCGGAUGACCUGUGGCU